GUAAUGUUUGAUUUUAGCUUGUGCUUUGUAUUGUUGUUAAGAUUGCAUGAAAGUUUUAGCGGGAUAGUAAUUGAUUAAUUGGUUUUAUAUCAAUUGGUUUGUCAUUAGAAAGUAAAAUUAUAAGAUUAUAUAAUCUCAGCAUAUAUUAUUAUUAAAUGCAUAAAAGUGUGAAUUAGUAGCAACAUUUCAAGUCUGAUGAAUAUUGUGCCAGCAUUCGCGGUUAUACUUUAAGGCUAAGCAAAGUAGGUUAUUAUUAGUUAAGUGAAUUUAUAAAUUAAUUUUUAUUAUGGGUAAUAAAAGGUGAAAUUUAUAUAUUAUCUUGUAAUUUUAUUAAUAAUUUGUAAUUGAAGCUAGUAAAAUUUGAUCAUAAACUAGGAUUAGAUACCCUAUUAUUUCAAGUGAUGUUUAAAAAAUAAUAAAUUAGUAGUAGAUAAACACUUAAAAAUUAAAAAAUUUGGCGGUAAUUUAAUCUUUUCAGAGGAAUUUGUUUCUUAAUCGAUAAUCCACGUAAUAUCUUACUUGUUUUUGUAUGACUCAGUUUGUAUACCAUCAUUAUCAGGUAAUUCUUAAAAGAAAAAUUACUAAACCUAAUUGUUUAUGAAAAUUAGAUCAUGGUGCAGCUUAUAAAUAAGUAGAAAUGAAUUACAAUAAAUUGUUUUAGACGAAUUAGUGAAUUAAUAUUGACUAUAAAGGAGGAUUUGAUUGUAAACAAGGUUUAAUAAGCCUUUUUGACAUGAGCACUAAAUUAUGUACAUAUCGCCCGUCGCUUUCAUUAUAAAUGGAAUAAGUCGUAACAUAGUAGAUAUACUGGAAAGUGUAUCUAGAAUUA
rnacentral:ncRNA from 1 species